rnacentral:lncRNA from 1 species
GCCACCAUUCCCGGAUCCCCUGCACUGCUCGGGGGGAGGACGUAAAAGACAGUGGAUGGAUGGAAGGUGGUUUUAGUGUGCUUUUACUUUCUCACUAUUCUAGUCUGCUAGUGAUAGGCAAUAAAUUACAGUAAUCUCCCUGUGCUGAGUCUGUUUUGCCUGUGACGAUAAUUGUUGAGGGAUCUCCCUGUCCUUAUCUCAACCCUUGAGCUCUUUCCAUCAUAUUUUCUCCCCCUUUUCCUUUGAGGCGGGGGAGUGAGAGAGCAGCCGUGGUGGAGCUCAGCUUCCCAGCUGGGUAAAAUCACCACACUAGUACAAAUAUUUGCCAGCCUGCAUCACAAAGCAGGUUAGGCAAUAAAUAGAAAACAAAUAUUUCUUUUCAAAUGUUGGUCAGUUCUCACAGUAAAGCACAAUCUCAGAAACAAUUGCUCUGGCAUAACUGAAGAGGCAGCAAACUGUGGCAGCGCAGCAGCUUUAGGAAGACAAGAACUCCUUACAACAAUUUUCCACUAAAGCUGAUCCAUCUUCACUACUGACUGGAAACAAAGCUGUUUCCUAUUUUCUUCCCUGACGCUGGGGUGACAUCAAGGAAAUGGAGCACAUCGGAAGAUAUCCCACUGUCCGUGCUACAGCAGCUGCAGGUCCUCGGGAGGAACAGUGACAGUGAGACUCCAGGUCCAGCAGAGGUUAGAAGAUUAAUCAGCUCACCGAGAGGUGAGAUGCCUCAGAGCUGCCGCAAGAGAAGCCAUGAAACUACUCAUUCUUUGUCAGCAAGUCGCUCAAUCAGCUUUGCUGAUCUGAAACGCCACUUUCAGAAGCAAAGAAGUCACCAGUGCUGAAACUUUACAAAGAGAACCAGGCAGACUUGUGAGAAAUUGAAACGCAACAGCUUACACUUGCAUAUACAUAAGCGACUAAAAUAAGAUGUCGAUGCUGCCUGCUGACACCCAUUAUAACCACGUAGCUGUCAGCUAAAUGUUAAUAG